rnacentral:rRNA from 1 species
GACGAACGCUGGCGGCGUGCCUAACACAUGCAAGUCGAGCGCUGAAGGAUUGUGCUUGUACCCACUGGAUGAGCAGCGAACGGGUGAGUAACGCGUGGGGAAUCUGCCUCUUAGCGGGGGACAACAUCUGGAAACGAAUGCUACUACCGCAUAAAAACUUUAAAGACAAGAAUCAAGUUUGAAAGAUGCAAUGGCAUCACUCAAGGAUGAUCCCGCGAUGUAUUAGCUAGUUGGUGAGGUAAAGGCUCACCAAGGCGAAGGUACCUAGCCGACCUGAGAGGGUGGUCCGCCAACAUGGGACUGGGACCAGGCCCCAGCCCCUUCCGGAGGCCGCCGUAAGGGAUCUUCGGCCAUGGGCGGCAGUCUGACCGCGCCACGCCGCGUGAGUGGAGAAGGUUUUCGGGUCGGUAAAGUCUGUUGGUAGGGAAGAAAGUUGGUGAGGGUGGAAAGCUCAUCAAGUGACGGUAACUACCCAGAAAGCAACGGCUAACUACGUG